ACAUCUUCACCACAGUCUUAUUAGGAUUAAAUAAGGUCAAAGUUGUUGCAGCAGCAGUAGCAGGAGAAAGGGCUAAGUUCUAUAUGUAUGUGAGAGAAUGAUUAUUGCAAUUGUAGGCUAUAAAACACAUACCACUUGUAUUGUUCCUGAAGGAGGUACUCGAUAACCCCUUUUACCAAGGGACUCUAAAGUAAUCACACCCUUGAAAUAAAAGAAGACAAAUUGAGUACAAACUGAUGCAUAUGUACAUAAAAGACUAAAAUAAGAAUAACUCAUGUAAUUUAUUAAAAUUUCAGAAUUCUAUUUCUAUGGAAAAACAUUCAUAUUGAAUUAAUAGAGAUACAUUCUAUGUUUCUACCCCUAAGGAAACAUUUUACUGUUCCUCCUGGUGAUGUCGCUAUAAAGAAUAUAUAACAUCAAUGGCCACAGCACUCAAAAUUACUAUUAAGAUAUAGGAAUAAAAGAAAGAAGUUCCUAACUAAAAAGGAAAUAAAGGAAGGUAAUAGGACCCUUCCCAUGUAUCUUGAGGGAGAGGGGAAAUGAAGAAGCAAGUAAUUUAUUGGUCUUCGGGCAUGUAAAAAGUCACAAGUGUAGGAAAGUAAGCCUUGGCCAAAAAUAAAGUCAAUUCUUCAGUCUGGGAGUUAAGUUACAUAUCUGGAUUUCUGAAUAAAGACAGGAAAAAAAAUAGAAAAGCAAUUUGGAAGUCUGUAGUUCCUGCCUGGUACUACUUUAUGGGAUAAGAGAUGUUUAAGACAAAAAGUGAAAAAUGAAAGUUAAAUCAGUAACUUUAAGGCUGUGGAAUGUUCUAUAGUAAAGCUAUAAAAUCUCACUUUCCUAAAAUUAAAUAUUUCUUCAGAAACAACUUUAUAUCAUGUUGUGUCUUAAUCUGGAUAUUAUUAAGGUAUUUUGAUUUUGUUUGGUCAUUUACUUAUUAAGGAAUCUAAGAAUCCAAAUUGAUUCUAAAUCAGAACACAAUGGAUUGAGAGCUGAUUUGAGUCAAGGUUAAAGCUAAAUUAGGGUCAUGUCACUAGAGAAGUCUAAAAGAGGAUAUCAGGAGUCCUCCAGUUAGUUUGGUACUCAAAGAAUGAUCCUCAGAUGAGCAUCAUCAGCAUCACUUGUGAACUCGUUAGGAAUGUGAAAUGUCUGGCCUCUUCCCAGACCUUACAAAGUCAAAUAUACAUUUUAACAAGAUUCUCCAGAUUAUAUCAAUUUACAUUAAGGUUUGGGAGCCCUGCUCUACUAUAUGAAGUAGUUUUUCUCAGGAUGUUCUCCUUACUGCAAAAAUGCAAUCAAUGGGGAAAAAGUGUAUGUUAAAACAAGGUAAGUUCAAAUUGAAUGUGUAAAAGUUUCUCAAUAACCAGGAUGAUCAAUAACCAGGAUAACCAAAUGACUAUCAGUGGUAAUUGUGAUACUUAAUUAUUAUUAUUAUUAUUAUUUUGAGAUGCUUUCUCACUCUGUCACCAGGGCUGGAGUGCAGUGGCACAAUCUUGGCUCACUGCAACCCUUGCCUCCCGGGUUCAAGCGAUUCUUCUGUCUCAGCCUCCCAAGUAGCUGGGACUACAGGAACUCACCACCACGCCCAGCUAAUUUUUGUAUUUUUAGUAGAGAUGGUUGGGGGCAGGGGCGGUGGUUCUACCAUGUUGUCCAGGCUUCGACCUCCUGACCUCAGGUGAUCCACCCGCCUCUGCCACCCAAAGUGCUGGGAUGACAGGCGUGAGCCAUCGUGCCCAGGCUGUGAUACUUAAAGAGCUUUAAAAAAUGAAUGCUGAUGCAUUUACGUUAACUGGGCUAAUACUUUUCUUUCAAGUAGUUAAGGAGAACUGUAUGUUCUACAUUUCAUGAUUUCAUUAUUAUACAUUGUACAUGCCAAACUUAUGUAAAAGCAAAUAUAAAACAGCACUGUUCUAUCAGGUGACGUCUCUCUGUUGGGUUCGGAAGUUGGACCAGGGUUAGGAAGUAAAAAGGAGUGGAUAAAGGUAAAAGGGAAAGCCACAUUCUGACAUAUGAAUUUACUCCAAGUGAACAACACUUGACAUCAGAUUAUUAAAUUAACACAUUAAGGUUAACACAUACGUGGUUCUUGACAAAUCAGAUUUGUCAUAUGGUUAUUUAAAGCAUGAAAAAAGCACAUCAACAAACUGCAACCCUAACCAAAACAGCAAUGAAACUUUAACAAUUUAUCUCUUACAAUCUGCCCUACGUGCCUAAUGAGGUACUCUGUAUACCACUUUUUUUUAAAUGAGCAGAGUGUGGCUAUUUACUCUACAUGAAAAAGAUAUGGUAUAUUAUACAUGUUUUCUUCCUAGUUUCAGAAAGAAAAAGUAAAAUAUACCUAAAUAAUAGCUAUCUUUAAAAUCACAUAACUACACGUAAUAUAUUACCGUUCUUCCUUGCCAGCCAUCUGCCUCCCCACCAAAUACAUACAGUAAAACUGGUAAGGCAACUACUACCAAGUUUAUACUUGUUUCCUUUAAUACAUUCAAUUCCAAUAGUUUUUAGAACACAGUAACUAAAUCAAUUUAUUUAAAAAAACAGCUUUUUGAAAAAAACCAUAAAGUUGAAGGCAACAAUUUAAAACAAUUUGUAAGCAAUGUUAAGACUAGUAGCAUUGGCAAGUUAGGAAUUUUAGAAAGGGACUGGGAAAUUAUUUGGAAUUUUAUUAUUCAUCAUUAUUGUAAUAAUUUCAUCAUUUUAAUUGAUCAGCAUAUUAAUAUUUAUACCUAGAAAAAGUUACCAUAUUUAACACAAAAGAGAAAAACACAUUUUCUUCUGGCAUUUUUUUUUUUUGAGAUGGAGCCUUGUUCUGUCAUCCAGACUGGAGUGCAGUGACACGAUCUUGGCUCAGUGCAACCUCUGCCUCCUGGGUUCAAGCCAUUCUCAUGCCUCAGCCUCCCGAGUAGCUGGGAUUAUAGGCGCCCACCAUCACGCCCAGCUAAUUUUUGUGCUUUUAGUAGAGACGGGGUUUUACCAUGUUGGCCAGGCUGGUCUUGAACUCCUGACCUCAAGUUAUCCGCCUGCCCCAGCCUCCCAAAGUGCUGGGAUUACAGGUGUGAGCCACCAUGCCCGGCCCUUCUUCUGGGAUUUUAAAAUGGAAUAGUAGGGUUAAAAUAAAUAUGCUCAAAAUCUUAUACAAAAAUUGCUCAGAUUAUUAUGGAAUAGGGAAUAUGCACAAGUAAGUGGAAAACUGAAAGAACUAUAUCUUGAUCUGGUUAAUUACAAAGAAAGGAAAUCAUACGUGGCCCUAAUAUUAUAAUGAAAGUCUUAUUAGAAAUUUGCCACUGGCACACCUGCCUUAGAUAUUUCUGCCUGGUUUCACACUGCAACCGUUUCUAAACAGCUAAGUGUUGUCAUAUAACACUUGGAGAACAUUUUUACCACUGACUCCCAACCGGAGAAUAAUAUUAUAUGGCUUUGAGUUAAUCUUUAAGGGAAUUAUUUAAUGAGAAGUCCUAUACCACCUCUAUACCACAAAGAUAGGAUUUUCUGUGCUAAAAUUUUACCCUUGUGAGUCAUUUGUAUAAUCUGUGAUAAGAGGUCCCAAAAUUAUUAUUAGAGUAACAAGGUUAUUAUAAGAGUAACAAGUGUUUUAUGUCUUCGCUCUGCUGGUCUGUGAUAUGUAUAGUCUUACCAAAACAUAAUCACAUUCUUUGAAAACAGAUUCAACUACAAAAAUAAAGAGAAUAUUCCCUGAGGAACAAAAUUAAUUCAUAGCAGGAAAGACUGGAACUGGGUCACUUGCAAAAAGAAUGCAUUCCUGGUAAGUAAACUUUUAAUAGAAAAAUACAGACUAUUUUUUGAAAAUGUUCUAAUUUUUUCAUAGGAAAAAUAUAAAUGGGAUAGUUGACUCAAGAAUGUUAUCAGAGAAAAGAAAGUCAGAGUUUCUCAAAAGCAUAGAUUAAAUUCAGUAACCUGAUUUAUACCCUUGCCAAUACCUAUUUAACAAUCUGCAAUCAUCUGCGUGUACAUCUCUAGUACUUUCUGGAGUGACAAAAUCUUUUAUCUCCCAAUCCUUCAUUUUUGAGAUAUCAACUAAGGUGAAAGAUUAAUGCUGUCUUGCUUUUUAAAAGCAUAGUUCAAGUUACCUCUUGCUCAUUAAUUUCCAUCAAAGAUAUUUAUUUGAGCUGAUUUUCAGCCAGUUUACUCUUUUAUCUUGUUUCCAAGCCAUCCUAAUGGCCAACAGGGACUCUGUUCACUAAUGAUAGAUCACAGUAUUUUAUUUUAUUUAUUUUGAGAUGGAGUUUUGCUCUUGUCGCCCAGGCUGCAGUGCAAUGACGCGAUCUCGGCUCACUGCAACCUCUGCCUCCCGGGUUCAAGCGAUUCUCCUGCCUUAGCCUCUUGAGUAGCUGGGAUUACAGGCGUGUGCCACCAUGCUCGGCUAAUUUUUUGUAUUAUUAGUAGAGACAGGGUUUCAUCAUGUUGGCUAGGCUGGUCUUGAACUCUUGGCCUCAGGCGAUCUGCCAGCUUCAGGUGAUCUGUCCGCCCCAGCCUCCCAAAGUGCUGGGAUUCAGAUAUGAGCCACUGUGCCUGGCCAGAUCACAGUAUUUGAGACCUUAUCUUUCCAUCCUCUAUUACUAUAUGCCAGUAAAAGGUGUGAAACUGAUCAGAUUCUUGAUGUCCUGGUAAGGCAAAACAGGCUGUUGCUAUAUUCUCAUAUUGUAAGCAUUCGAGUAUAAUAUGCAUUUAUUCUGGUAUUAAACUUAUCUCAGUGGUACUUUCCAUUUUAUUAAGUGUCCAAAAUUAGCAGUUAUUUUUUCAAAAUAAUUCUGGAAAAGUGGGUACAUCUUUCUAUGGUAAAUGAACAGGUAGCAUAUGUAAUAACUGGGCAGGUUUGUGAAGGGGGCCUCUUCUUUCGAUAAUAACCUAUGCUGGGCAUCUUCAUGCUUAUGACCCACAGAUGUGAACGUUGUUGGGAAAAGAAAACUUUGAAUAAAUAAGCAGUCACCACUCUGCUUUUUCUAUCAAAGUGUCAAACACUAAUCAAGCUCUUGACUAAAAUCUUCACCCUUAGAAUGGAGUAAGCUUUCCUUGAAGAAACUGGGCCAGUAAUGAGUAGGCCACAUAUAGGUUCCUAAAAGUAGCUUCCUUUCCUCUCUGUUGUUUCUCAAUUGUAUAGAUGUCCCUUUUUACAGCUUUUAUUAAUGACAAAAGUCAUUGUUACUAAUGUCCUUGAAAACCUAGAAGGUUGUGGAGAGGGGUGUUAGGAGAGGAAGCAGUUGGGCCAGAUAGUAAGUUAGGAAAUUCAAGCAGCAAGACUAGGCUAUAAUGUUCAAUGCCUACAGUAAUCUGCAUUUCUCAAAAGUAACACCUAAAAUGAAAACCCAGAUUUGACUCCAUAUUUGAUACCAUCACUGUCAACUUUUUACAGACCUGCAUGGCUAGCUACUUGUCUCUCUUUGUCUUUUGGAAGAGGGCUGAUACUAAUCAUAUACUAGUACUCAGUAUUGUUUUUGCAAAUGAAUGCUUAUAUUAUCCACAAGCCAUUGGAAUAAAAAAAUUGGAAAGGUGAAAUCAUAAGAUUGAUCUUAAGGCUCAACACUAUAACUCAGAGGUGUCCAAUCUUUUGGCUUCCCUGGGCCACACUGGUAGAAGAAUUGUCUUGGGCCACACAUAAAAUAUACUAACACUAACAAUAGCUGAUGAGCUAAAAAACAAAAAUCACACAAAAAAAUCUCAUAAUGUUUUAAGAAUGUUUACAAAUUUGUGUUGGGUUACAUUCAAAGCCUUCCUGGGUUGCAUGUGGGCUGUAGGCCGGACAAGCUUGCUGUAACUCCUCUUAGUUAUUUCACUCUCCAUUAAGACAUUAGCGUGAGUCUGAAGUAGCUAGUAUCCUAAAGAACUCUAGGAUUAGGCCAGUUGUGGUGGCUCAUGCCUGUAAUCCCAACACUUGGAAGGCCAAAGUGGGAGGUCUGCUUGAGGCCAGGAGUUCAAGACCAGCCUGGGCAAUAUAGGGAGGCCCUGCCUCUACAAAACAUAAAAAUUAGCUAGGCAUGGUGGCGCAUAUCUGUAGACCCAGCUAUUUAGGAGCUCCAAGGCAAGAGGAUGGUUUGAGGCCAGAAGUUUGAGGCUACAGUGGGCUAUGACUGCACCACUGCAUUCCAGCCUAGGCAAGAGAGUGAGAUGCUGUCAAAAAAAAAAAAGAACCCUAGGAUUAGAAAAAAAUAGGCCCAAAGACAAACCAAACCGAAAAGGGAGUAAAAGGGCCAUACAGAAGCCUUAUGUCACCAAAGCCUUGUAGGACUAGAGGACACAGUGCACACUAAGCAUUUGAGAAUGUGUGUGAACUCAGCAAGAUGGAAUUACAGUGUCACUAAUCAAUUUUUAUCAUUUUUUCAAGACAAAGAGAAAUAAGUACAUUUUUAGUACCAUCCUUAAAUGCAAAAGAGGUUAUCUGUUGUUUGAACUAGCUUAGAAAGAAGUUGUGAGGUAAUAUUUUGGCAUAUUAGUUUGUAUUCAGCUGUUAGGAAAUGAUUUAUAUUUUCAAGUACUGCAUCAAAGCACUUAAAUUUGUCAUUAAGUUGGUUGAUUU
rnacentral:lncRNA from 10 species